UACGAAGGGGGCUAGCGUUGCUCGGAAUCACUGGGCGUAAAGCGCACGUAGGCGGAUUGCUAAGUCAGGGGUGAAAUCCUGGAGCUCAACUCCAGAACUGCCUUCGAUACUGAGAGUCUCGAGUCCGAGAGAGGUGAGUGGAACUGCGAGUGUAGAGGUGAAAUUCGUAGAUAUUCGCAAGAACACCAGUGGCGAAGGCGGCUCACUGGCUCGGUACUGACGCUGAGGUGCGAAAGCGUGGGGAGCAAACAGG
rnacentral:rRNA from 1 species